CCACGCCGCUCAGAAACUACAAAGGAAGUGACGGGACCGCACAAGCGGCGGAGCAUGCGGAUUAAUUCGAUGCAACGCGAAGAACCUUACCAAGGCUUGACACAUAGAGGAAACGUCUGGAAACAGUCGCCCCGCAAGGUCUCUAUACAGGUGGUGCAUGGUUGUCGUCAGCUCGUGUCGUGAGAUGUUGGGUUAAGUCCCGCAACGAGCGCAACCCUCGUUCUAUGUUGCCAGCACGUAAUGGUGGGAACUCAUGGGAUACUGCCGGGGUCAACUCGGAGGAAGGUGGGGAUGACGUCAAAUCAUCAUGCCCCUUAUGUCUUGGGCUUCACGCAUGCUACAAUGGCCGGUACAAAGGGCUGCAAUACCGUAAGGUGGAGCGAAUCCCAAAAAGCCGGUCCCAGUUCGGAUUGAGGUCUGCAACUCGACCUCAUGAAGUCGGAGUCGCUAGUAAUCGCAGAUCAGCAACGCUGCGGUGAAUACGUUCCCGGGUCUU
rnacentral:rRNA from 1 species